rnacentral:rRNA from 1 species
AUUGAACGCUGGCGGCAUGCCUUACACAUGCAAGUCGAACGGUAACAGGUCUUCGGAUGCUGACGAGUGGCGAACGGGUGAGUAAUACAUCGGAACGUGCCUAGUAGUGGGGGAUAACUACUCGAAAGAGUGGCUAAUACCGCAUGAGAUCUACGGAUGAAAGCAGGGGAUCGCAAGACCUUGUGCUACUAGAGCGGCCGAUGGCAGAUUAGGUAGUUGGUGGGAUAAAAGCUUACCAAGCCGACGAUCUGUAGCUGGUCUGAGAGGACGAUCAGCCAAACGGGGCCUGAGAAACGGCCCAGACUCCUACGGGAGGCAGCAGUGGGGAAGUUUGGACAAUGGGCGCAAGCCUGAUCCAGCAAUGCCGCGUGCAGGAUGAAGGCCUUCGGGUUGUAAACUGCUUUUGUACGGAACGAAAAGCCCCGGGUUAAUACCCUGGGGUCAUGACGGUACCGUAAGAAUAAGCACCGGCUAACUACGUGCCAGCCGCCGCCGUAA